rnacentral:tRNA from 1 species
ACUCCCAUGGCGUAGUGGUCACUGCACUCGCCUUGCACGCGGGAGACCCGGGUUCGAUUCCUGGCGGGGUCA